UUACACAGAGUUACAUAGUUACUGACUCAAAACCUCAACUAAACAUCAGCUCCCAAAUUGAGUGUUUGAAUUUUUAGAGGUGCCGUGUCUGUCUGUCCAUCACACUUGCAUGUAUACUUCUGUCUUAAGAAACACAUGUUCAGUUGUGAUGAAAUCUGGUCUGGACAUUCUUUAGCAUAACUAUUGAGUGUCUGUCUCUGGGGAUUUAUGUAGGCUUCUGCCCUUAAGUCACAUUUACAUUUCAUGUUUGUUGCUAAUGACUGCAAUUUUGUAUUUCCAGCUGUGCAUGUCACUGACACCCCCUCAGCAUCCAAUGGUGAUGAAAUCCUUUACUCUACGAUUGACUUAAAGAAUACAAAGCCAGCUAAACCCAGAUCAAAACGCGACUGUGAUGUCCUGUACUCUGCUGUCCUUGUCAAGAAGCAAGAAGAUAACCCCAGUGCUGCAGACAACAGUGAUGCCCUUUAUUCAGAGCUCGACAUGAAGAAUGUGAAGAAGAAGGGUAUGAAAUCUCUUUCCUCCCCUCAACCCUCUGUAUUGGACAGGCUUCCUAAUACCCCUCUGCCCAGUGUUUCUAUAAGGGAUAAUCAAAACUGUUCAUGUUUCUAACGUAGAAUGAACCCUUUACACUCCCCUCCAGCCCAUACUGGAACAGACUGGGUGGUGGGGAAUUUGUUUUUCCCUUUCACCCCCUACCCUGACUCCUUGUUCUCUAAAGUAAGUAGUUAUGACAUUGAAUAAACAUUGCUGGGUCAAACUGACCAGGUUGCAAGUGAAAAGAAGAGUCUUCAAAAUUUGAUCUGCUCAGAAGAGUGACAAAAUAAUGUCUCCUAGCCUUGUAAAUACUAUGAUUAAAAGAUAACAAUGAGCCAGAUUCUCAGACUCAGAUCGUUGUCUCUAUUUCCCAGGUAA